rnacentral:misc_RNA from 1 species
UUCGCUUGAAGCGAUCAGUUUUGAUUUGAGCGUGGCUGCGGAAAGAACAUCUUACCGGAUCGACAGUUUAUAUAUAUGUUAAAUAAAAGCCUCGAGAAUUCGCGCAAAGUGCUUACGAAUAGAAUUUAUCUAAAACGAUAUAUAUAUGUUUGUAUAUAGUGGCUCAAUUGAAAGUGAAGAAAACAAUUAACGCACUACUGGUAACCGCCGAAAAAUUCAAGAUUCCGAAUUAAAUCCGCUCCCUACAUCCACAGCCU